CCGUGCUAGGUGGGGAGCUAGGGGUUCCCUGUCACCUGCAACCCCCUCCAGCAGGACUGAAUUCCUCUCCGCGGGACGCGGGGGCGGGUGUGGAAGAAAGCAAGGAGCGUUGAUGGAGGGGACCCAAGCAAUGGGGACCUGUGAACCUGGUCAGAGGGGGAACCCGGCAGCCAUAAGCAGUGCUCUUCAUGUGCUCUGGGGCCACCUCUCCGGAGCCACCUGCUUUUGGAAGCUUCGUCUUCUGCGUUUCAGAGAGAGGUGCACGG
rnacentral:SRP_RNA from 1 species